rnacentral:rRNA from 1 species
GAGGGCCGUAUUUAUUAGAUAACAGACCAAUAUUCUUCGUGUCUAUUGUGGUGAAUCAUAGUAACUAAUCGGAUCGUAUGGGCUAGUCCCUCGACAAACCAUUCAAGUUUCUGCCCCAUCAGCUUUCGAUGGUAGUGUAUUGGACUACCAUGGCUUUCACGGGUAACGGAGGAUUAGGGUUCGAUUCCGGAGAGGGAGCCUGAGAAACGGCUACCACAUCUAAGGAAGGCAGCAGGCGCGUAAAUUACCCAAUUCUGACUCAGAGAGGUAGUG